UUACAUAUAAGGUCCAUGGCAAAAUGGGUGAAGGAACUUUUGGACAGGUCUUAGAGUGCUGGGACCGAGAGAGGAAGGAAAUGGUCGGCAUUAAAGUUCUUCGUGCAAUAAAAAAGUGCUUUUGGUUUCAUCGGAGUAUCUUAAAGUCCCCGAUUACAAGGCAGGAAGCUUUAGAGAGAUAGAAGAUGUUGCACCCUUGAAGGAGAAAUUGGGAAGGCCAUUAUCAAAGCAAGAAAGAAGUGGGAUAGGUGUGAGCAAACUUAGGCUGUUUCUGGAAGAAAUACUACAAAAGAGGUUUGUGAAAAGUGAACCUACUUUAGUUCCACAAUGGUUGAGAAGUAAUGGAAGUGUUACUAGUUCAGCCCACCAUUAUGCAUCUUCAUCUAAUCACACUGAAAACAAUUGCUUCUCCAGGACGUGGUAUUUUGGCCAUGGAUGAAUCCAAUGCUACAUGUGGAAAGCGGUUGGAUUCAAUUGGACUAGAGAACACCGAAGUUAACCAUCAAGCAUGGCGUAAAAUUAUAUAUGAAGAAAGUGUUAUGACUUAGUUAAAAUAUAAUUUUUAUGUGUAUGAUUUUAUAAUACUUGAAAUAU